UUCUGUCAAUAUUGUAAAUAAAAUACUUUUUUCCCCAUCUUCUCUGUUCCAGUAUAACCUUUCCAUUGUUACAAGUGUGGUGUUUGAAUUCCAGGCAUGGCCAUUGCCUUCUGGACUGAUGAGGCCAGAAGCUUGCUCCAGGGAACCCUUCAGCCAGUAUAAAGAGUGCCAAGACAGAAUGCCAUCACUGAGGAAGUUCCAGUCCAUGUGCGGGCUGUCAUUGACCGCACUGCAGAGGAAAAGAGACUGAUGGACUUUAUUGUACAGUCACAGGAAAGUAAGCAGCAUUUGGCAGUACUUUGAGAAUGUUCACAUUUUUUCAUCAUUACAGACUAGUUCACAGAAAAGAUUCACCCAGGGCCUUUGUUAGGAAUAUCAUCAACCGACAUAUUAUUUAGCUUCGUGGCUGAUUUAUUGUAUCUUUAUUUGUAAUGUAUAUAUGUAUUUAAUGACUGACAUUUAAUGUUAGUUGUUCAAUGACUAACAACUACCACACAGUAUACUCAAAAAUCCAAUUUCCACAAAAUAAUUGUUUCUUUACCUUGGUUUGCCUAUAGGGUGUACUCAAUGGGAAGCCUUCUUAGUGAUUUCAUUAGAAGUUCUCUUCCCAGGUACAUGUCUACCUCGACAGUGAGGAACAACAGGACCCUUUUCGCCUAUCUGAAGGCAGUACUGCAUAAAACACCAACACAACUGAGCCUCAUGGAUGAAGUGCAGUUCAUCCUUGGUGUUCUAUUUCCGGAGGAGAGGAGCAAAAUAUAUGCCACCCCCAACAACCAUGUCCCUAUUAUACAGAUCUAUUUAGAUCUGUCCAAAGAAAUGAACUUUGACUACCGCCUAUAAAGGGCAUCUAUUGAUGCAUUGAUGGCCCUUCUCAAAAGGGAGAAGACCCAUGGCUGGGGGAAAUAUAUGGAGGUCCUCCUGGUGGUCUACUGGCUGGCACAUGAGCUGUUUUACAGUGUUGUCUCGCGGGUCUUCGAUGUGCAAAGACAACAGUGUUUAACAUUGUCCAUCAGAUGUGUGACACAAUCCUGAUGCUCCUGAGCAAUGCAGUCCAUUUCCCCACACUGGCACAGUGUCCUGAAGUUGGCCAGGGCUUCUAACACCUUGCCAACAACCCACCCAUCAGACACUGUGUGGGAGCCAUUGAUGGAUGUCACAUCCGUAUCAACGCUCCCCAUGGUCCACAGCCAGAAGAUUACCUGACUGGGAAACUUCCACUCUGUCCAGCUUCAGGCAAUCUGUGACAGCACUGGCAAAUUCUUGGACAUAGUUGUUGGCUACCCUGGUUCAGUCCAUGACACCAUGGUGCUAAGAAAUAGUCCAGUGUUUGUCAGGGGCUGUUUCCCACCAGCUGGGUAUUUCAUUGUGGGGGAUACCCAUGCCUUACUGCACCAAUCGCCCUCAUUACACCAUAUCGUGAGCUGGUGAAGGGAAGAGUGGAGGCGCGCUUCAAUGCUCACCAUGCAAUAGCCCAGAACAUUAUAGAGAGGGCAUUUGGCAUGAUGAAGGCACGGUGGCGAGGGAUCUUCUUCAAAGCCCUGGAAGUGGAUCACACUUUCGCUCCAAAAGUCAUUGCAGUGUGUGCAGUGCUCCAUAAUGUCUGCAUCACUGUUGGGGACAUCCUGGAGCCAGCUGAGGAUGAGGAUCCUGUGUCACUACCACCAUCUGUGCAAAGGGAUGAAUGUGGAAGUCAGCACUACAAGGACAGACUGGCAGUGUCUGCCCCUUACCAGUGUCCCUCACCUCUGCAAGAACAUGACUAUUUCAUUUUGUGAAUAAAUGUCUUUUUUUGUGAAAUUUUGUUUUCAGUUAAUAAUUCAAGAACUUUUCUUGAACAUUUUGGUUUGCACAUUAAUA